ACAGAGCGUGUGGCGAAAGAACGGAGAAGUGAAAGCGUACACCAGGCAUUAAAGCUCUGCUCCAACUGCAAUGAAAUGCAGGGUCUUCCAUAAAAAAAUGUAWCCUGAGCAAAGCAGAUGGGUUAAGACCCAGACAUGCACACAGCAAUGUCUAUGAAGACUCUUCCUGGAGGAACGCAUAGCUGACUGGAUGGUGACAGCUCAAAUGCUAAAUUCGACACGACAUAACRCCCCAUCUGGGAUGAAAUGCCUCCUUCCAGCCCCAGAGUGAGGGGACAAGAUUGCCGCUGGCUGCUACCCAGUCCCAGCUACAACAACGUGUCUCAAGGAACCAGUGAGCUGCUGCUUACAGCUACAAACAUGAGCUUYCCAUUAGGAUAUGUGGUACCACAGAAAGCUGUCGUGGU
rnacentral:lncRNA from 1 species